UCCCCUGGCAAACUUUUGGUCGCUUAAUCUGGGAUAGACACUAGAACUGUCAGCGGAAAAGGUAUACCAAGGAGCACUGCCUAGCAACAAUUGAAUCUAGAUACAGGAAAAAAUAGUUGGGGGCCUGGGGGGAGGAGAGCUUUUGUCUUUUUACUACAGAGGUAGUCAAUGUUGUCGCGUCGUUUGAAAAAACCUGAGACACUGAACUAAGCAGUGCAAUUUUCAGACGUUGCAAGUGGCAUGCAUGCCACUUAAUAGACAUUUCCUCUUGUUUGGUCCCAUCGUGGUCAAGCCUGACAGUUGAUAAUCUUUGUGCACCCUUUGCUUUUGUGAUUA